CUCAAAAGAUGGCUUUACACUGAAGCAUAUGAAAAUAUUAAAUUCUUUAUCAACCUGUUGAAGUUUGAAUUGCUUUGAGGGGAUUAUUCAGAACUUCCAGAAAUCCAGACCAAGGACUUUCUCAGAACUAAGUGGCCAUCUCCAGCUGAGUUCCCCCAGCAACCACAGUGUGAGAGAUGAGACAGCGCAGAGGGGAGCUGGGAGCAGGGAUUGAAGAGGUGCACACCCCUCACUGCACUGUUCCUCAAAAAAGAUCCAGGAUUUUAUCAGAAACUUUGCAAAACUCCAGUAUUUUCUCAACUCUGUUCCUAGGAAACACUUGUGAUGUCGAUUCGCUGCCUCACCUCACAGUGUGACAGCAGCAGGAGGUCAGAUCCUGAACUUGGGUUAAAAAACCCUUCUGUUAUCUUAACAGGCAAAAUGCCCUUGGCUCCUCCAGUGGUGCUGAAACCUGGAGGAAAUAAGAAGAGCCCAAGCCAGUUCCCUCCUGAGAAGGCACAAGAUAACCCACCUGAGUCAUGCACUCGGUGCACGAUGAGCUGGAGUUUGUAACCACUUCUUGUGUUCUACACCACAGCCAAAGUCAAGCUGUGCUCCAGCCAGUGACUCACAGCCCAUUAUUUCAUAAUAUUAGUCAUUUAGCU
rnacentral:lncRNA from 1 species